AGGAGAGCUGCCCCUAGUACGAGAGGAUUGGGGUGGACGAACCUCUAGUGUACCGGUUGUCGCGCCAGCGGCACCGCCGGGUAGCUAUGUUCGGACCGGAUAAGCGCUGAAAGCAUCUAAGCGCCAAGCCGCCUCCAAAACGGGUCUUCCCGGGGCCUCGAGCCCCCUAAAGGCACCUCGGAGACUACGAGGUCGAUAGGACGCUGGUGUACGCACAGCGAUGUGUUCAGCCUAGCGUUACUAAUCUGCCGUGAGGCUUGACCAU
rnacentral:rRNA from 1 species